GUGCUCUCUUUGGUAGCACAUACACUAAAAUUGGAAUGAAACAGAGAAGAUUAACAUGGCCCUCACACAAGGAUGACAUAUAAAUUCAUGAAGUGUUCCAUAUUUUC